rnacentral:rRNA from 1 species
CCUGGUUGAUCCUGCCAGUAGCUAUAUGCUCGUCUCAAAGGCUAAGCCAUGCAAGUGCAAGUACGAAUUGAUUGAUAACGACACUGCGAAAGGCUCAUUAAAUCAGUCGUGGUUUACGUGGUCGUGCGGCGACCGUGUCGGAAAAUGGAUAACCGUGGAAAAUCUAGAGCUAAUACAUGCAAAAGGCGCCGACUUCGGGAGGCGUGCGUUUAUUGGAGUAGCGUCGGCCGGCGUCUUUCGGGGCGCCGUCGAUAGUUGCUGACUCUGGAUAACUGAGCGGAUCGCCCAUUGCAAUGGGCGACGUACCAUUCGAACGUCUGACCUAUCAACUUUUGUCGGUACGGUCUCGGCCUACCGAGGUGCUUACGGGUGACGGGGAAUCAGGGUUCGAUUCCGGAGAGGAAGCCCGAGAAACGGCUGCCACUUCCAAGGAAGGCAGCAGGCGCGCAAAUUACCCACUUCAGACUCUGAGAGGUAGUGACGAGAGAUAACGGUGCGGGCCCACACGAUGGGCGUCGCAACCGCAAUGAGAGCAGAUCAAAAAUCUGCGUCGGGUCGCGUUCGCGCGUCCCUUUCGAGUAUCGAUCGGAGGGCAAGUCUGGUGCCAGCAGCCGCGGUAAUUCCAGCUCCGAAAGUGUAUGCUAACUUUGUUGUGGUUAAAAAGCUCGUAGUUGAUCGGUGACCUCCUGGUCGGGACGAGCGGACGAUCGGAUGCCCUUGCGCUUCGCGGCGCGGGGCGGAUGGUCGGAUGCGCCGGCCGGAGGCAGAAGAACCACACGAGGCGGCGGCCUGGCAUAAAGGGUCGUCGCCUGGUCGAAGUCAAUCGCCCUGAAAGAAAGUAAGCGUAUCAGGGCAGGUCGAAGGAUUCGACCUUGAAGCACGUCGCAGGGUACGACGAAAGAGGGCCGCGGCUCCGCCGCCGGCGCCGGAUGUACGCGCGGCAAUGAUCGAGAGAGACGGACGGGGGCAUUCGUACUGUGCCGGGAGGGGUGAAAUCCGUUGAUCGGCGCAAGACGAACUGAAGCGAAAGCGUCUGCCAAGGACGUUUUCCUUAAUCAAGAGCGAAAGUCGGAGGUUCGAAGACGAUCAGAUACCGUCGUAGUUCCGACCGUAAACGACGCCGACCGCGCCGUCGCCAGACGCACCGCUUUCGAAUGGUCGUGGUGGCGGCGUCCCGAGGGAAACCGUUCUCGGUUCCAGGGGAAGUAUGGUCGCAAAGCUGAAACUUAAAGGAAUUGACGGAAGGGCACCACCAGGAGUGGAGCCUGCGGCUUAAUUUGACUCAACGCGGGGAAACUCACCCGGCCCGGACGUGACGAGGAUUGACAGAUUGAAGAGCUCUUUCUUGAUUUUGCGAAUGGUGGUGCAUGGCCGUUCUUAGUUCGUGGAACGAUUCGUCUGGUCUAUUCCGAUAACGAACGAGACUCGAAUGUGCGUGUUCCGCGGGGUCGGCCGCUGUCCCGCGCGCCUUUCGGGGCGCCGGGGCACGUUGUAUGGUCGAGCUCCAGCUUGAUGCGGAACUCGAAAGACAAGCGGCUUUCGGAAGCCGUACGAGAUCGAGCAAUAACAGGUCUGUGAUGCCCUUCGAUGUCCGGGGCUGCACGCGCGCUACAAUGGUCGAAGCAGAACGAACAACGGGACUCGGUGCCUCCCUCUCGCGAGGGGGCGGGUCUCACCCGGCUCGGGAGUGCCGGGAGAUCGAGGGAAACUCGAUCGCGAUCGGGACAGAGAAAUGAAACGAGACUCUCGAACGAGGAAUUCCAAGUAGGCGCGAGUCAUCAUCUCGCGUCGACUGCGUCCCUGCCCUUUGUACACACCGCCCGUCGCUACUACCGAUCGAGCGUUCUAGCGAGGUCGCCGGACUUCGGACCCCGUCCUUCGGGGAUCGAGCGAAGGCGAUCGAACUAAUGCGCUUAGAGGAAGUAAAAGUCGUAACAAGGUUUCCGUAGGUGAACCUGCGGAAG